AUUUGGAAAUAGAAAUUGAAUGUAGUUCAGUGGCUGACAGCUGUCCUUAAUUAGCCAACAACAUUAGAAGGGUCUGGGAUUCCUUUAAAAGGAGCAACCAAACAUCUGGCAAAUAUAGUAAAAGGGAUAUUCUGGUAGGAUGUAUGCCUACCAUUAGUGCUGAAUACUGGUGAGGUUUUGAGGGCAAAAUGGCUGUGAUGAUUGGAAUCGCUUUCAGCGUUUCUUGGCUUUGUUGCCUGCUAAUUGGAGGGAUAACGUGUUCUACAUCAGAAGGUGAUUGGUCUCCUGCACUGGAUUCUAAUGCAGCAUGGCUUGACGCAGGAUCACUUCGGUCUCUAGGAUAUAGCAAUUAUAAGUCUCCAAAAUCUCAAAUGCAAGCGCAACAGAAACAUCCGGCCGCCAUCCUGCGGAAGGACUUGGCCCCCAUGUCCCAGCAACCUCAGCAAGUGUGGUAUCCAGUUCAAAUGCCCCUGCAACCAGCCGCAGAAGCUCAGCCGCAGAGGCAACCGACAACUGUGCCCCAGCAGGUGUGGCAUCAAGCUCACAUGCUGACGCAACCAUCGACUGCCGUGCCCCAGCAAGUGUGGCAUCAAGCUCACAUGUUGACGCAUAAGCAACCGACUGCCGUGCCCCAGCAAGUGUGGCAUCAAGCUCACAUGCUGAUGCAUAAGCAACCGACCGCCGUGCCCCAGCAAGUGUGGCAUCCAGCUCAAAUUCCCCUGCAGCAGAAGCAACCGACCGCUGUGCCCCAGCAAGUUUGGCAUCCUAAUCAAAUGCUGCAGAAGCAACCGACCGCCUUGCCUCAGCAAGUGUGGCAUCCUGCUCAAAUUACCCUGCAGCAGAAGCAACCGACCGCUGUGCCCCAGCAAGUAUGGCAUCCUUCUAAAAUGCCCCUGCAAACAACCGCUGUGCCCCA
rnacentral:lncRNA from 13 species